AUACGGAGGGUGCAAGCGUUACUAGGAAUCACUGGGCGUAAAGCGCGCGCAGGCGGGCUGAUAAGUUGGAUGUGAAAGCCUACGGCUCAACCGUAGAACUGCAUCCAAAACUGUCAGUCUAGAGUCUGGGAGGGGAAGAUGGAAUUAGUUGUGUAGGGGUAAAAUCCGUAGAGAUAACUAGGAAUACCAAAAGCGAAGGCGAUCUUCUGGAACAGUACUGACGCUGAGGCGCGAAAGCGUGGGGAGCAAACAGGAUUAGAAACCCUAGUAGUCC
rnacentral:rRNA from 1 species